GAUGAACGCUGGCGGCGUGCCUAAUGCAUGCAAGUCGAGCGAACGGACGAGAAGCUUGCUUCUCUGAUGUUAGCGGCGGACGGGUGAGUAACACGUGGAUAACCUACCUAUAAGACUGGGAUAACUUCGGGAAACCGUAGCUAAUACCGGAUAAUAUUUUGAACCGCAUGGUUCAAAAGUGAAAGACGGUCUUGCUGUCACUUAUAGAUGGAUCCGCGCUGCAUUAGCUAGUUGGUAAGGUAACGGCUUACCAAGGCAACGAUGCAUAGCCGACCUGAGAGGGUGGUAGGCCACACUGGAACUGAGACACGGUCCAGACUCCUACGAGAGGCAGCAGUAGGGAAUCUUCCGCAAUGGGCGAAAGCCUGACGGAGCGACGCCGCGUGAGUGAUGAAGGUCUUCGGAUCGUAAAACUCUGUUAUUAGGGAAGAACAUAUGUGUAAGUAACUGUGCACAUCUUGACGGUACCUAAUCAGAAAGCCACGGCUAACUACGUG
rnacentral:rRNA from 1 species